rnacentral:rRNA from 1 species
UACGAAGGGGGCUAGCGUUGCUCGGAAUCACUGGGCGUAAAGCGCACGUAGGCGGAUUGCUAAGUCAGGGUGAAAUCCUGGAGCUCAACUCCAGAACUGCCCUUGAUACUGGUGAUCUUGAGUCCGGGAGAGGUGAGUGGAACUGCGAGUGUAGAGGUGAAAUUCGUAGAUAUCGCAAGAACACCAGUGGCGAAGGCGGCUCACUGGCC